AGUUAAAAAUUUUAUCAAUUUAUAUUGUUAAAAAUUAGUUUGGUUGAUGAAAUAACUAGAUAGCGACACAUGGUUGCUAUAUGUAUCUCAUGCUGACGUACAUUGAUCAAUUUUUAACAAUAGAACUGAAUGAAAAUUUUAACA
rfam:Gossypium arboreum cultivar AKA8401 contig_33042_5, whole genome shotgun sequence.